UUUCACCAGGUGUGAAAGAUUGUCGGCCUCAGUUGUCAAGUGGCAGGUGAUAAGAUCGAGAGAAGAAGCGGCUAUUUCAGUAGACAGUGUUGUCAGUGAAUGCUUAACCUUUUUCAAGGCAAAUUGCGUGCGACGAAGAAAUCAGUCGUUUCGUCAUGAGGGUGAAGGCAAUUCUGUUUACGUUGAUUACUGUCAUUUUCGUGGCAGGAUUCCCAAACAACAUUGGUCGACGAUCCGCGCAUGCUAUGGAGGAACCUCCUCCCCACGCAGACGAAGUAGCUCCCGUAGGAGAGGAUGCCUUUGACAUAGACUCUUACGCUAUCCUGAGGUUGCCAAGAAAAGCAAGAGGAAGAGCCACCUUCGACGUUGAAGUCGACAUUGAUACAAAAUACAAAUCCCAGACUGAUGAAGAUCUACAAGUAUAGCCCAUACGAGAAAGACCUGCUACUCUCGCUGAAGACUUCCCAUAGUAAAAAUCUUAAAACUUCUUUGCUGAAAGAUAUCAUAAGAAUGGAAAAAUCUUUUGCUGUGGACAUUGUCACCUGCAAGUCCAUGAUUAUGGUUACUGCAUGCAAUAUAAACAGCGUGCAUUUUAAAUAAAUUAAGUAUUCAAUCUUAGUCUAUUCUCUGUAGACAGUUUUCUUGAUGAUUUACCCUUCUAAAAGGUUCUUAUAAUGAUUAACUAA